rnacentral:lncRNA from 1 species
UGAAGUCUUUAGAGAACCCAUCACUGUGAUCUUUGUACCACCACUGGGGAAAGAGGACAUCUUUGCACGUGUCUGGCAUUGUUCAUGACAACAGGGCAACCGAAAUAAAGCAAGAGUUUCAGGGAGUAGCAUUAGGAUGCAGCCCUCCCGCUGUGCACACCAGUUUCCUGCUCAGCACAGCUGCCUGCUCAGCUGGGGGUUGGAAAUCAGCACUGUGAGAAAAGACAGAAAUGACCGUGAUGCGUGCCUCUCUCUAUGAGGAAAAGGAGACAAUUCUACACGAGAUACGACUACAUGGAGUGUCUCCUACUCCCUCUGGACAUCAUGAAAAAGUCUUGUCUACAUACAGAACCCAUAAGCAGUCUAGACUCAUUUCCAAGGCAAGAGGGUUCAGAUGACCUCGGUAUGUUUAUGCCAUAGUUUCUGAAUUAUAAUUUUUCAAUAUAAGUUUUAUUUUGAGACCAAAACGGUGGAAUGAAAUUGCUUGACCUGUCCGUCUUUCCCUGGGAAGGCACCCUGAGUAUACAUCCAUCCAAUAAACAAGCCUGCCAAGCCUGAGCCAGCUGUCUCCUUCCCCAGCUUUAAGAACACACAUGGUAUGCACUCCCUGAUAAGUGGAUACUAGCCCAGAAGCUCAGAAUACAAUUUGCAAAACACAUGAAACUCAAGAAGAACAAAGACCAAAGUGUGGAUACUUCUACCCUUCUUAGAAGGGGGAACAUAACACCCAUGGGAGGAGUUACAGAGACAAAGUAUGGAGAGGAGACUGAAGAAAUGACCAUCCAGAGAUUGCCCCACUUGGGGAUCCAUCCCAUAUACAAUCACCAAACCCAGAUGCUAUUGCAGAUGCCAACAAGUGCUUGCUGACAGGAGCCUGAUAUAGCUGUCUCCUGAGAGACUCUGCCAGUGCCUGACAAAUACAGAAGUGGAUGCUCACAGUUAUCCAUUGGACUGAGCAUAGAGUCUCCAAUGAAUGAGCUACAGAAAGGACUUAAGGAGCUGAAGGAGUUUGCAGACCCAUAGGAAGAACAACAAUAUGAACUAACCAGUACCCCCCAGAGCUCCCAGGGACUAAACCACCAACAAAAAAGCAUACAUGGUGGGUCUCACGGCUCCAGCUGCAUAUGUAGCAGAGGAUGGCCUAAUUAGUCACUAGUGGGAGGAGAGGCCCUUGGUCCUGUGAAGGCUCUAUGCCCAGUGUCGGGGAAUGCCAGGGCGAAGAAGCAGGAGUGGGUGGGUUGGUGAGCAGGGAGAGGGGGAAGGGACAGGGGGAGGGUGUUUUUAGGAGGGAAACCCAUGAACCAGGAUAACAUUUGAAAUGUAAAUAAAGAAACUAUCCAACAACAACAACAACAACAACAACAACAACAAUAAUAAUAAUAAUAAUAAUAAACAGAGAAAGAUUGGAGGAAGGCUCGAUCUAAUUCAGGGUCGAAAUGACUGGCAAAGUUCUGGUAAAGUACAAUUUUCAAAGUUGUUGAGAUUAUAGAAUAUAAGAGUCAUGAGUAGCAGCCCUCCAAUCCCUCCUAGAUUUCCACUCAGAAAAAUAAAGUCCUCACUGGAAUCUGGGUCUUAGCACUGUCUAUCAAUCCACUCUGCCUUAGAAGAGUGGGCACCUUUGGCUUAACUCUGGCUUCAGAGACCAGAAUCAAGAUUCUGAAGAAAAGGUAGACUCCAAAUGGUAGUUGAAAGUGCAUACUUAUUAUGCUAACUGAUAGUCUGCUUAAGUUCAUUUUGAAUGGGCUUACUAGCAGUGAUUCACAUAAAAUUGUAGUCACAAGUGUUCCCCCAACCACCCUCCAAUGGAAAACACUGUGUCAAGACUGAAACACUCCAACGCAAUGGCUGCUGUUUGAGGUGCUGAUGUCACCUGACUGGGAGGGUUGUGACAGGUAGCACAGGUAGGUCUCACUGGUAGCCAUGGACUGGAGCUGUUACAAGCCAAGGAGGACAUGGGGAAAGCUGUACCUGUUCAUAGCUCUAUGGCGAUAACUGAACUAUGUAUAUAUUUAUUUUUUUAUUUCCUAUUUUAAUUAGAUCUUUGAGAAUCUUGCACAAUGUAUUUGGUCGUAUUUAGUCUUCCCUCAACUCCCUCCAGAUCCAGAUCCAUCCUUCAUCCUAAGCAAGUUAAUUUUGUAUCAUUUCAAAAACACAACAAAAAACAAACAAACAAAAAUAAAAUAAACAUCAAGUACAGUUUGUGCUGUUAAUACACUUGGAUAUGCAACCUUCAUUCAAGUAUGAUCAACAUAACAGGGGCCACUCCCUUAAAGAAAACAGAUUCUCUUUCUCUUAGAAGCUAUAAGUUGCCAAUUGCUCCUCUUCUAGGUGAGGGAAUCACACCCACCUCUCCUUUCUAUGCUGAAAUUUUCUCUGGCUUGAGCUUGAAGGGUCUUGAGCAUGCUAUCACAACUGCUCCAACAUGAGUUCAUAUGUUAAACUGCCUUGCAACGUCCAGAAAAAACUCCUCCCUACAUGUCAUCUGUCACCUCUGACUCUUAAAAUCUUAUUGUCUCUUUUUCUAUGUUGGUUCCUGAACCCUGGGAAGAAGCUAGUUAUUAAUGCUUUAAGAGUUGUAUUUAUAUUGGCAUUCAGGAAUGUGGAUAUUAAAAAAUAUAAAGAAGGUUGGAUUUAUUUUUCUCUUUACCCACUGAGGGCACAGCAUCCAUUGAAAUAUUCAUAUAUGUAAUAAUUUCUUGAGGUUGGUAACAGUUGUGAAUUGAAGGCUCACUUUUUAUCUUGAAUAUUUGGCCAAAACUGAUAUAAUAACUCAUGAAUCCAACCAACCAAAAAUCUAUUAUUUAGGGAAGAUGCAAAGGAAUAAAAUUAAUAAGAGAAAAUUUGCUGUUGAAUAAAAUGCCAUAUUUUUAAAACUGUGUAAUAAGUCCUUUGGCCUGUGUCAAGAGUUCUCAAAUGUAAUCAUUCAUUCAUUGCAAAACCCUGAGAUUCUUUUACAGAGAUCAUGAUGGCAACACUAAUGAUGAAAGCCAGUCAAAUACUUGGAUUCAAAUUUUAGCAAACCAAACAGUUAUGAAAGCCACAAAGUCUUGGCAUAUGGAUGCACAUAUAGUAUUUCAACAAUAUACACUGAUGACCAUAUAAGCACCACUCCUGGCUGUUACAGAGCUUACAUAUUUUUUACCAGGGACAGGCCUUGCUCUUACAUUCAGUAAAUUUAUCAUCAUGGAGCUCAGACAGCCACACAUAUAUGGAGCACACAAGGUUAAAUAUUGUGUGAUUAAUGCGCAGUGAAUCCUGCUGUCUGUCAGAAAGGAAGACUUUGCAAUAGCAUACAAUGUAAAGAUGACUUUUAAAUGAGAUUCUAAACAAAAUCAUAAAGGUCGGGUGACUCCAGUGACAUAUUUCGAAUGACUGUGGCAGAUUAUAAUAAUUUUGCCCCUUUCACUCAGCCUUCUAAUUACUAAAUCAGAUUAUGUUUUCCUUUUAAACGAAGCUUGAAUUUAUCCAUUUGUUUUCUUGUCUUUUUUCUCCUGGUCUGAGAUAUCAUUUUCUUACUGAGCAACUGAGAGUCCCUCCCUCCAUUAUUGUAGUACCCAUUCUGAAGAGAAGGAGAGGAGUGAGAGAUUGGCAGGAAAGGGAGUAGGAUAUAAAUAAUGUUUAUUUUGUUCAUUUUCUGAACUAAGCAACUGUAUUGUGAAGGUUGCUAUGGCAAGGUGUAGCAGAAAAUCUCUAGGAUGUGCAGAUAGCUUCAAGAUCCUGAGAGCCGACUCCAGCCUGCACCCAGGAAAAAGUCAGGAACUUUUCAACACAGACAUAGGAAAUGAAAUCUGGCAUGCCGAGUUGACUUCAGAAUAGACUCAUCAACAGGUGAGUUCCCUGCUGAAAAUGGAGUCAGGCUCAAGUCUUGAUUCCAAUUAUGAGAGAGUCUGAGCAGAGAAGCCAGUUAAGCCCUGUGUAGACUUCUGAUCCAAGUAAACUGUGAGACAAUAGCCAUGUGUAAGGACACUGAAUUUAUUUCUGUGAUUUGUUAGGAGGCAAUGGAAACAGGUUCACUGUUUCCCAGGCAUCUGUGUGGUCCUGAGCUCUGUCAAUGGGAUGUGUGUAGAAGAGACAUGUACCAUCUCCUGUCUUGCACACAAUACUAUUGCUAGAUUCUGCCAAGAAUUUCCCCACCGGCUUAGCCAGAUUUCAGGCAGAGAUUUCAAGUGCUCUAGAAGACAGUGGGGCCAGAAGAUGGAAGUAACCUUGGCAGAUGAUCAUCGUGUAGGAAGCUGACCCUGAAUAACCACCAAACGACUUAUUUAUUGAAUUAUGUCACUUACGAGUUUGGUGACUUCUUGGUUAGUUGUCUAAUAAAGUCUAAUAUUUAGCCCAUGCAGACAGCAAUGUUGCAGAGUGUGUAACUAAUAUCUGACAGCGGGACCAGUGCUUAAGCUGGAAAGAAAUCAGAGGGUGGAAGGGCAAGACAAUCACACAACUUUUGUGAUGUCUUAAGGGGAUGGGAUUUAGGAAAUUAAGAACUACUCUUACUCUGAUAAUGAGCCAUUCAGCCACAAAUCAUGAAAAAUUGCCUUCUCUGGCUGCUAUGAAGCACUGCUCUUUGGAAGCCAUUGCUGAGCACUUGUGUGUUUACUCACGCCCUUUCAGAUAUGCACCUGUUAUUUCUGCCACAAGUUCUGAAACAGCAUGAAGUUCACCUGGGCCAUUCACUAGGUUAAUGUGGUGUGCUGAAGAAAUGUGAUCAGUUAGCUUCCGACUUCAGCCACCUG